AUUGAACGCUGGCGGCAUGCCUUACACAUGCAAGUCGAACGGUAACGCGGGGCAACCUGGCGAUGAGUGGCGAACGGGUGAGUAAUAUAUCGGAACGUGCCCAGUAGUGGGGGAUAGCCCGGCGAAAGCCGGAUUAAUACCGCAUGAGACCUGAGGGUGAAAGCGGGGGAUCGCAAGACCUCGCGCUAUUGGAGCGGCCGAUAUCAGAUUAGGUAGUUGGUGGGGUAAAGGCCUACCAAGCCGACGAUCUGUAGCUGGUCUGAGAGGACGACCAGCCACACUGGGACUGAGACACGGCCCAGACUCCUACGGGAGGCAGCAGUGGGGAAUUUUGGACAAUGGGCGCAAGCCUGAUCCAGCCAUGCCGCGUGCGGGAAGAAGGCCUUCGGGUUGUAAACCGCUUUUGUCAGGGAAGAAAUCUUCUGGGCUAAUACCUCGGGAGGAUGACGGUACCUGAAGAAUAAGCACCGGCUAACUACGUG
rnacentral:rRNA from 1 species